rnacentral:rRNA from 1 species
UGGGGAAUAUUGGACAAUGGGGGGAACCCUGAUCCAGCCAUGCCGCGUGUGUGAAGAAGGCCUUAUGGUUGUAAAGCACUUUAAGCGAGGUGGAGGGUACUGGUAUUAAUACUACCAGGUACUGGACGUUACUCGCAGAAUAAGCACCGGCUAACUCUGUGCCAGCAGCCGCGGUAAUACAGAGGGUGCGAGCGUUAAUCGGAUUUACUGGGCGUAAAGCGUGCGUAGGCGGCUAAUUGAGUCGGAGGUGAAAUCCCAGAGCUUAACUUGGGAAUUGCAUUCGAUACUGGUUAGCUAGAGGGUGGGAGAGGAUGGUAGAAUUCCAGGUGUAGCGGUGAAAUGCGUAGAGAUAUGGAGGAAUACCGAUGGCGAAGGCAGCCAUCUGGCCUAACACUGACGCUGAGGUACGAAAGCAUGGGGAGCAAACAGG